AGAGACAGCAGUAGCCACGGUAAUACGUAGGUGGCAAGCGUUGUCCGGAAUUAUUGGGCGUAAAGGGCUCGCAGGCGGUUUCUUAAGUCUGAUGUGAAAGCCCCCGGCUCAACCGGGGAGGGUCAUUGGAAACUGGGAAACUUGAGUGCAGAAGAGGAGAGUGGAAUUCCACGUGUAGCGGUGAAAUGCGUAGAGAUGUGGAGGAACACCAGUGGCGAAGGCGACUCUCUGGUCUGUAACUGACGCUGAGGAGCGAAAGCGUGGGGAGCGAACAGGAUUAGAUACCCCCGUAGUCCCUGUCUCUUAUAC
rnacentral:rRNA from 1 species